GUGGGGAAUAUUGGACAAUGGGCGCAAGCCUGAUCCAGCCAUGCCGCGUGAGUGAUGAAGGCCCUAGGGUUGUAAAGCUCUUUCACCGGUGAAGAUAAUGACGGUAACCGGAGAAGAAGCCCCGGCUAACUUCGUGCCAGCAGCCGCGGUAAUACGAAGGGGGCGAGCGGUGUUCGGAAUUACGGGGCGGAAAGCGCACGUAGGCGAACAUUUAAGUCAGGGGUGAAAUCCCGGGGCUCAACCCCGGAACUGCCUUUGAUACUGGGUGUCUAGAGUAUGGAAGAGGUAAGUGGAAUUCCGAGUGUAGAGGUGAAAUUCGUAGAUAGUCGGAGGAACACCAGUGGCGAAGGCGGCUUACUGGUCCAUUACUGACGCUGAGGUGCGAAAGCGUGGGGAGCAAACAGGAUUAGAUACCCUAGUAGUCC
rnacentral:rRNA from 1 species